UCCCCAGGUCACACGAGGCCCUGCAGUGUCACAAGGGCCCCUUGGUUCUGUGGAGCCCACAGGGUCAGUUUUGCCAGUGGGCAGGGUCAGCACCAAAGACACAGACACCAACUGAAGGAAUUGUGUCAUUUAUAUAAGGUAAAUCUGCAAAAAUUACAAAAGUAAAGCACAUAAUCAUUAGGAAAUAAUUACAAUAGGAGCAGCUCAGCAAUGCACUCAAUCGUCACCACCAAAGAUCAAAGAUUGCAGCAGUGAUUAAGAAAGAUCCAGCAUCAGUUCCCCUCAGCCUUUACCAUCCCCCAGAUCCACACAGCAGCUGGGGAAGCUGUCACAGCCAAGGGCUGCAGAGCCACUCCUGGACACUGGGAAUUCCUGCAGGUGCCUCCAGCCACAGGUGUGGCCAUUGGACCAAGAAGACAAUGGUUCUCACCUACUGCUGAGGACACAGACUGGCUGUACCUUCUUUUCCCCUCAGUGAUCAAUGGACUUCUUCUUUAUUGGAUCUGUUCCCCCUCAGUGAUUUCAAGAUCUGUUCCCUCCUUAGGAAUGGACUAUACUAGAACCUUGAGUUAACCAGGUGUUCUUAAAUUCUUCCUCACAUGACAAAAGGGAUGUAUUAGCCGGACCAUGAGGAUUUUGUCUCUCUGUUGGUAGCAAUAUUCUGCCUCCUCUCUCUCUCUCUCUCUCUCUCUCUCUCUCUCUCUCCUUUAUCUCUUUUCUAAUCCUUCUAUUGCAUUUGCUGUGGGCACUCAAUAAAAGGUGCAUUUGUGUUGAUGAAUGCUGAAA